UAUGUGAUCGUCUCUCGCAUAUCAAUAAGCGGAGGAAAAGAAACUAACAAGGAUUCCCCUAGUAACGGCGAGUGAAGCGGGAAGAGCUCAAAUUUGAAAUCUUAAAGGGUUUCCCUUUACGAAUUGUAGUUUAAAGAAGUGUUUUCUGUUGAAGUUUUGGUAAAAGUUCUUUGGAAUAGGACAUCAUAGAGGGUGAGAAUCCCGUAUUUGACCUUUACUUUCAACUUUGUGAUACACUUUCAAAGAGUCGGAUUGUUUGGGAAUGCAGUCCAAAAUGGGUGGUAAAUUUCAUCUAAAGCUAAAUAUUGGCGAGAGACCGAUAGCGAACAAGUACCGUGAGGGAAAGAUGAAAAGAACUUUGAAAAGAGAGUUAAACAGUACGUGAAAUUGUCAAAAGGGAAGCGUUUGACACCAGUGUUGUUUUUCUGAAAAUCAAUUAAAGAACUGUUUAUGCUAAGUUGUUUAGACUUUAUCAGCUAUCUGUUUAGUUUUGAGCUCUUCUUUAAUGCACUUUUCAGUUAACAAGUCAACAUCAAUUUCUUUUGCUGUAAAAAAGCUUGAGGAAGGUGGCUUGAGAUUCGUCUUAAGUGUUUAUAGCCUCUUGCCUAUGCAGUCGGAGAGAUUGAGGUCUGCAGCGUAGAUCCUUCGGGGCUAAAUGCAUUUGUGCUAAGUUAUAGCAUUUUAUAGACAACUUGUUGACUAUGAUUUGUCUUGUAGCUUACUCGCUUAUGUUAUUUUACCUACGCUUAGGAUGUUGAAGUCAUCGUAUCGCGC
rnacentral:rRNA from 1 species